GGGGGUAUAGCUCAAGUGGUAGAGCGCAUGCCUAGCAUGCAUGAGGUCCUGGGUUCAAUCUCCAGUACCUCCU
rnacentral:tRNA from 1 species